rnacentral:rRNA from 1 species
UGAUGCAGCCAUGCCGCGUGUAUGAAGAAGGCCUUCGGGUUGUAAAGUACUUUCAGCGGGGAGGAAGGGAGUAAAGUUAAUACCUUUGCUCAUUGACGUUACCCGCAGAAGAAGCACCGGCUAACUCCGUGCCAGCAGCCGCGGUAAUACUCUGGGCG